UAGACUAUUUUAUUAGAACUUAAAAACAUAUUAGAUAUUUUUACAACAACAGAAUACAAAACUCUAGGCCAUUAAUACAUGCUAAUUAUAAAUAAAUGGGAGUUAAUAUAAUUUCUAGUCUUUCCAAUUCAUGUUACUCAUAGUCAUCACAUUAAUCUUUCUUAAAAAUCACUGUCGUCAUAGCAUUGUCCUCCUGGGAAACUUUUGCACCUGUUAUUUGAAGUUAAAAUGUUUUUGCUUGGCAUUGUGGGGCUCCUUGUGCCUCUGCUGGAGGUUUAACCAAGCAUCACAUGCAGCAGAAAACAGGGCUGACCAGGAACCCAGGAGACUUGGAUUCUAGUUCUCAUUCUGCCACUGUCUGGUUUGGGGGACAUUGGACUCCCUGACACUCUGACUGGGUAGAUCUGGCCCUGAAGCUAAGGUUCCAGAUAAAAGAGCUAGGAAGGGAGCUUAAGGAGGGCUCCUUAGAAUAGCUGUGGAAAGCAGCUUCUCCAAUGACUCUCGAUGGUCCCUGUCUCGUGGUGUUCGCCCUCUGGUCUUGUGUAAUCCCCUCACUUUGAGUAUGAGCUGCACAUAGUGACUGGCUCCUAACAAAUAAAAUGCAGCAAAAGUGAUGGGAUGUCAUCUGUGAGAUUAGGUUACAAAAGACUGGGCUUUUUGGUUACAUUCUUUCUUUCUGGCCCUUCUUGCUUUCUCUCUAAUGAGGCGAGAUGCCAUGUUGUGAGCUGCUUCGCGGAGAGGCACCAGUGGCAAGGAAAUGAGGGCAGCCAGCAGGCAAUAGCCAGCUGCCAUGUUAAGAGUAGCCCUAUGGAGGGGCCUACAUGACAAGGAACUGACAUCUCUGGUCAACAGUCCGUGAGGACCUAAGGCCACCAACAGCCACAGGAGGGAGCUUGGAAGCAGAUCCCCUCCCCCAGUGGAGCCUUGGGAUGACUGCAGCCUGGCUGACACUUUGAUUGUAGCCUACUGGGAGACCCUGAGGUGGGGGUCCCAGCUAAGCUGCCCAGCUUCCUGACCCGCAGAAACUAUGAGACAAUAACUGUUGGUGUUUUAAACCACUACAUUUGGAGAUAAUUUGUUACACAACAAUAGAUAACUAGUACAGAAGUUCUAAAGAUCAAACAUCACCUGAAAAAGGAGGGACCUUACGGAAAAUAUUACUUAGAAGUUAAAGCUAUUAAAGCUGAGAAGGUGACUUCUGAGCUGAAUUUAAUUUUGAAAAUCACAUGCACAAUAAAAGAAAAUUAAAAGUUUAAAUAAAUAAAUAAUACCCAGACAUGGAAUCAACCCAAAUGCCCAUCAAUGAUAGACCAGAUAGAUAAAAUGUGGCACAUAUACACCAGGAAAUAGUACACAGCCAUAAAAAGAAAUGAGAUCAUGUCCUUUGCAGGGACAUGGAUGGAGCUGGAGGCCAUUAUCCUUAGCAAAGUAACACAGGACCAGAAAACCAAAUGCUACAUGUUCUCACUUGUAAGUGGGAGUGGAAAGAUGAGAACAUAUGGACACAGGCUGGGGCACAACACUCACUGGGGCCUGUCAGGGGUGCAGGGGGAGGGAGAGCAUCAGGAAGAAUAGCUAAUGCAUUAAUUCACUAUUAAUAGCUAAUCAUUAUUACCUUAAUACCUAGGUGAUGGGUUGAUCUGUGCAGCAAACCACCAAGACACAUAUUUCCCUAUGUAACAGACCUUCACAUCCUGCACAUGUACACUGGAACUUAAAAGUUGAAGAAAAAACAAAUGCCCAGAAGACUAAGAUUGAGUCUCAAACUUCGCCUGUAAAGGAACACAUUUGGUUUUCCAGAGAAUGAUUGUAUUGGCACAGUAUAAAAGCCUGUCUCCUCAGGAAUUGGAAGAUAUGUUCCUGAGUAUGGGAAUUGAUACAUGUACAAAGGUACUCAUGGCAGCCUUGGAUAUACAGUAACAGCAAGAGAUUGGAAACUAUACAUAUCUCUCAAUGUGGG